rnacentral:other from 1 species
AUACCCCUGUGGCGUGCGUGAUUAACAGACAAUUUUUGGGCCGACAUGGAAAUUUUUUGGGGGGCUUUCUCUUAUCCGGGCAGGUUUUUCCUUAAGGAAGGAACCUAAAGGGAUAAUAAGGCACCCACUUGCCAAAAAGAGGUUCAAAAAAAAGCUGUUAACACGGCGCUUACGGGGGUAUU